UACGUAGGGUGCGAGCGUUGUCCGGAAUUAUUGGGCGUAAAGAGCUUGUAGGCGGUUUGUCGCGUCUGCCGUGAAAAUCCGGAGCUCAACUCCGGGCCUGCAGUCGAUACGGGCAGACUGGAGUUCGGCAGGGGAGACUGGAAUUCCUGGUGUAGCGGUGAAAUGCGCAGAUAUCAGGAGGAACACCGGUGGCGAAGGCGGGUCUCUGGGCCGAUACUGACGCUGAGGAGCGAAAGCGUGGGGAGCGAACAGG
rnacentral:rRNA from 1 species